AAGUCUCAAGUGAAAUAAG
rnacentral:rRNA from 1 species